CCAAUAGCGUAUAUUAAAGUUGUUGCAGUUAAAAAGCUCGUAGUUGAAUUUCGGAAUCAAUAUAUCGGUCGUGCCUCUGGUACGCACUUAUUUAUUGAUUUCUCACUUCUGACGAAUCAUAAUGUCAUUAGUUUGGUGUUAUGAGGAAUCAGGACUGUUACUUUGAAAAAAUUAGAGUGUUUAAAGCAGGCUCGCGCUUGAAUACAUUAGCAUGGAAUAAUGAAAUAGGAGGUUUGAUCUUAUUUUGUUGGUUUCUAGGAUCGACAUAAUGAUUAAUAGGGAUAGUUGGGGGCAUUAGUAUUCAAUUGUCAGAGGUGAAAUUCUUGGAUUUAUUGAAGACUAACUACUGCGAAAGCAUUUGCCAAGGAUGUUUUCAUUAAUCAAGAACGAAAGUUAGGGGAUCGAAGACGAUCAGAUACCGUCGUAGUCUUAACCAUAAACUAUGCCGACUAGGGAUCGGAUGAUGUUAUUUUUUAAUGACUCAUUCGGCACCUUACG
rnacentral:misc_RNA from 1 species